rnacentral:misc_RNA from 1 species
CUCUCCCUCUGCCUCUCUUUUCUUUCUUUGGUGAAACCGAAAAAAGAAAAAUAAUCUAAUAAGAACUUUGUUUAUUUCAUUCUGUUUGUUUCAUGGCACUUCAUCAUCAUCAAUUCAUAUAGAAGAACACCAACCUUAUUAAAAGCGAUGAACAAUCUUCAAGAUUGGCCUGAACCAAUUGUUCGUGUUCAAUCCUUAUCAGAAAGCUGCCUUGAUGAAGUUCCUAAUCGAUAUAUCAAGCCACCGCUUGAAAGGCCAAGCAUAAAAUCUUCAUCUUCUUCUUCUUCUUUCGCAAGUGAUGAUGAUGUCAAUAUCCCUAUUGUUGAUCUUGGAGGUCUAUAUGGAAAAGAUGAUACUCUUCGCGCUUCAAUACUUGGCGAAAUUUCCAUAGCCUGUCACGACUGGGGAUUCUUCCAAGUUAUCAACCAUGGAAUUAAGCCUGAGUUGCUCGACCGAGGUCGCGAAAUAUGGAGAGAAUUCUUUCAUUUGCCGAUGGAGGAGAAGCAAAAAUAUGCAAAUUCUCCAAAGACCUAUGAAGGGUAUGGAAGCAGAUUAGGAGUAGAGAAAGGAGCCAUUCUUGAUUGGAGUGAUUACUACUUUCUUCACUAUCUUCCCUUGCCGUUAAAAGACUAUAAUAAAUGGCCUGCUCUCCCAUCUAAUUGCAGGGAAGUGAUUGAUGAAUAUGGUAGACAAGUUGUGGAGCUAUGUGGAAGGUUGAUGAAGGUGCUAUCAAUAAAUCUUGGGUUAGGAGAGAGACGUCUACAAGAUGCAUUUGGUGGUGAGAAUAUUGGGGCAUGUCUAAGAGUAAAUUUUUAUCCAAAGUGUCCACAACCUGAAUUGACCCUUGGUCUAUCAUCCCAUUCGGACCCUGGCGGCAUGACCCUUCUCUUGCCGGACGAUCAAGUCACCGGUCUUCAAGUCAGGCGAGGAAAUGAUUGGAUUACUGUGAAGCCAGCUCCACAUGCUUUUAUUGUAAAUAUUGGUGAUCA